GGGCCCGCACAAGCGGUGGAGCAUGUGGUUUAAUUCGAUGAUACGCGAGGAACCUUACCAGGGCUUAAAUGUAAGUUGCAUAGACCAGAGAUGGUCUUUUCUUCGGACUACUUACAAGGUGCUGCAUGGUUGUCGUCAGCUCGUGCCGUGAGGUGUCAGGUUAAGUCCUAUAACGAGCGCAACCCCUGUCGUUAGUUGCCAUCAAGUAAAGUUGGGUACUCUAGCGAGACUGCCGGUGCAAACCGUGAGGAAGGUGGGGAUGACGUCAAAUCAUCACGGCCCUUACGUCCUGGGCUACACACGUGCUACAAUGGCCGGUACAGAGAGCAGCCACUACGCGAGUAGGAGCGAAUCUAUAAAACCGGUCUCAGUUCGGAUCGCAGUCUGCAACUCGACUGCGUGAAGCUGGAAUCGCUAGUAAUCG
rnacentral:rRNA from 1 species